rnacentral:rRNA from 1 species
UCUCCUACGGGAGGCAGCAGUAGGGAAUCUUCCGCAAUGGACGAAAGUCUGACGGAGCAACGCCGCGUGAGUGAUGAAGGCUUUCGGGUCGUAAAACUCUGUUGUUAGGGAAGAACAAGUGCUAGUUGAAUAAGCUGGCACCUUGACGGUACCUAACCAGAAAGCCACGGCUAACUACGUGCCAGCAGCCGCGGUAAUAAU